UAAUGGUCCAACAUCAUUCCAGAUGUUUUGGAAUGUUGAAAUUUCUCGAAUUUUUUUUUCUGGGGCAAUUAAUUAAUUUGCUCUGGUGAUGAUAAUAAUGACGAUGAUGAUGACUAAUUCAAGGAUCUAUUGUGUGGCAACAUGCAACAAAAAAAAGAAAUUCUUUUUUGAUUAAAGACACACAAAAAUUGAUUGCAAUUUCCUUUUUCCGGUUGUUUGAGUUUUUUUUUUUUUGAUUACGCAAAAUGGUCAUACAAACUCAAACACACCUUUAAUUCAAGGUACCACCAACAACAGAUUGCAGUAUGCGCGUUUUCCUGUUGAGAAAAUAUUUUUUUUGUCCUUUAAAAAGUUUUAUUAUGAUUUUCGAUCGUGUCCAUUUUCAUUCAUUCAUUCAAUCAUUGACCAUUAACGACCACGACAGACUAACGAUAAAAAAAUAUGAAUUUUAUUCGGAUUGUGACAAGUUUUUUGGCUGGAUUAUUGCUGCUACUUCUGAUGAUGACAAUGAUGACAGCCAAUGCUAAUCCAGUUGCCGUUGGCGGUAAAGUUGGACCACAUGGUGGUGGAUUUACCAGCGGAUUUGCUGUUGGUCGUUCAAUAGCGCUUGGACCAGGAGGAAAAGUAUCGACCGGUGGUUUUGGACCAUUUUUUGGUGGUAUACCAUUUUUCUUUCGAAAAUAAAUCGAAGAUACCAAAGAAAAUUUUUUUUUUUUUUGUUUUGUUAUUGUUGUUGUUGAAAUAAGAUACACUUUUCUUCUUUGUAAAUGAAGCGAAAAUGAUGAUGAUUUUUUUCUCGAUAUCUCUUUCUCGUUGAACCAAAUCAUGAUAAAAAGUUACCGCGCUCAUCCGUUGUUUAUGAAUGAAUAAAAAUUCGAAUUUUUUUUUUUUUUUGCUAUUGAAAUAUAAUCAACACAUUCAGAUACAGAUCGGUCGAUUAGUGUGUUUUUUCUUUGAUCAAUUUGAACCACAAAAAACGAAAUUUCCAAGGGUAAUUUUCAUGGAACCUUGACAAUUUUUUUUUUGUUUUUGACUUUUUGAACUUUUCAAUUGAAAAAAUGUGUUUGUUUUUUAUUAUUAUCGUCAUCAUCAUCAACAAAAGCUUAACGAAUUUUGUCUAAUUAAACACAGAGAAUGUUGAAGCGAGUGACAUACACAGUUCACUACUUUUUUGGGGAUGAGCACAAUGGAUCCACACAUAUGGAUAUCGAAUUACAUGAACGAACGAACGAACGAACGACCAACAAAAAUUGUCCAAGGUCUAAUUUUGAAUAAAAGGGAAAAAACCAUUUCGAUUCGAAUUCAAAAACUGGAUUGAAUUGGUCAAUGUUG